CAAACAGGAGGAAGAGCUGUUAGCAAAGGAGGAAUCUCCUUGUUUAGUUCAGUGAAAACUAGCUGGUUCUUCCUACAUAUAAGUACAUGAGAGCCUGACUAACAUUAAUGAAUUUAUCCUCACAACUCCCCUGUAAGAUUGCAAUUAUAGUGGCUGGAUCAGCUGGUUCUGAAGCACACCCCAAUGGACGGACCCUUUGAAGUCCCCGGCAAAAACUCUCCA